AACGAACGCUGGCGGCGCGUCUUAAACAUGCAAGUCGAACGGCAGGAAGGGGCUUGCCCCUUCUGAGAGUGGCGGACUGGUGAGUAACACGUGGGUGACAUACCUUUUAGUUGGGGAUAGCUAUUAGAAAUAGUAGGUAAUACCGAAUGUGACCGUACCUGUUAGAGGGGUACGAGGAAAGGAGCUAAGGCUUCGCUAAAAGAAUGGCUCGCGGCCCAUUAUGCUCGUUGGUGAGGUAACGGCCCACCAAGGCGAUGAUGGGUAUCCGGCCUGAGAGGGUGAACGGACACAUUGGGACUGAGAUACGGCCCAGACUUCUACGGGAGGCAGCAGUUAAGAAUAUUCCGCAAAGGACGAAAGUCUGACGGAGCGACGCCGCGUGGAUGAAGAAUGCCGAAAGGUUGUAAAAUCCUUUUAAGCCUGAUGAAUAAGCACAGUAGGGAAUGAUGGUGCGGUGACCGUAGGGCUUGAAUAAGCACCGGCUAAUUACGUG
rnacentral:rRNA from 1 species